rnacentral:rRNA from 1 species
GACGAACGCUGGCGGCGUGCUUAACACAUGCAAGUCGAACGGGAUCGCUUAGUUAGUUUACUAAUUGAGCGUGAGAGUGGCGAACGGGUGAGUAACGCGUAGGUAACCAACCCUGUACUGGGGGAUAGCCCCGGGAAACCGGGAUUAAUACCGCAUAAGACUACAGCACUGCAUGGUGCAGUAGUAAAAACUUCGGUGGUACAGGACGGACCUGCGUCUUAUUAGGUAGUUGGUGAGGUAACGGCUCACCAAGCCGACGAUGAGUAGCCGACCUGAGAGGGUGAUCGGCCACAUUGGGACUGAGACACGGCCCAAACUCCUACGGGAGGCAGCAGUGGGGAAUAUUGCGCAAUGGGGGAAACCCUGACGCAGCAACGCCGCGUGAGUGAAGAAGGUUUUCGGAUCGUAAAGCUCUGUCUUUGGGGAAGAUAAUGACGGUACCCAAGGAGGAAGCCCCGGCUAACUACGUGCCAGCCGCCGCCGUAAAAC